CCCAUGUAUGCUUCAUUAAGGCCCAUUAGGAACUGAAAUACCUUAUUUUCAUCAUUUUCCUGUAUUAUACCAUCUUUGGCAACACAACCACAUCUUUGGCCACGAUUGGCACACAUUGAUUCUAAUUCAUCCGACAGACCUUUCAGUUUAUUAAAAUAUGAAGCUACAUCUAGGGACCCUUGAGAGGUAUGAGAAAGCUCUCUUUUCAAUUCAAAAAUUUUGGUCCUGUUUGCAGUGCGAUAUCUGGCCUGAAGUUGGGACCAUAUACUCUGUGCAGUAUCAGAAUACUGCACACUUUCAGCAAUUUGAGGGGAGAUGGAGGCAGUUAACCAGGAAAUCACCAUAUUAUUGCACCUGUCCCAUAACCUUUGUUGAGCCACAUUAGUGACUGGCCGGGAGCACGUGCCAUCAACAAAACCAAAUUUAUUUGUAGCAGAUAACGCAACAAUUAUUUUUCUCCUCCAACCCCCAUAACCACUGCCGAGAAGGGAGUGGAGACAAGAGAGACCCCAGGAACAUCAGAGGAGUAGACAAAAAGGGGGCUGGUAGAGUCUACCGAGGAGGUACCGGCAUUCGUAUUAGAAGCCAUGAUUAAUGAACCAGCUUGAAAGGAAAACAAUUUCAGCAAGCAAAAUAUAACGGAACCAGAUACUCACAUACAAAUCAUACAAUACUCAAAAUAAGGACAGAGUUACCCCCCUUCUUCGCGACCGGAGAAGAUCGGCCUUCAAUCAACAGAGAAAACCCUAGGUCCAACACCG
rnacentral:lncRNA from 1 species